rnacentral:rRNA from 1 species
GACGAACGCUGGCGGUGUGCUUAACACAUGCAAGUCGAACGGUAAGGCCCUUUCGGGGGUACACGAGUGGCGAACGGGUGAGUAACACGUGAGUAACCUGCCCUCAUCUCUGGGAUAACAGUCGGAAACGGUUGCUAAUACUGGAUAUGAGCCUGCAAGGCAUCUUGUGGGUUGGAAAGAUUUUUUGGUUGGGGAUGGACUCGCGGCCUAUCAGCUUGUUGGUGAGGUAGUGGGUCACCAAGGCUUCGACGGGUAGCCGGCCUGGGAGGGCGACCGGCCACAUUGGGACUGAGAUACGGCCCAAACUCCUACGGGAGGCAGCAGUGGGGAAUAUUGCACAAUGGACGGAAGUCUGAUGCAGCAACGCCGCGUGCGGGAUGACGGCCUUCGGGUUGUAAACCGCUUUCAAUUGUGACGAAGCUUUUUGUGACGGUAGCAGUAGAAGAAGCACCGGCUAACUACGUG